AUUAGAUGAGCCUAUAUUAGAUUAGCUAGUUGGUGGAGUAAUAGCCUACCAAGGCAAUGAUCUAUAGCUGAUCUGAGAGGAUGAUCAGCCACACUGGAACUGAGAUACGGUCCAGACUCCUACGGGAGGCAGCAGUGGGGAAUAUUGGACAAUGGGCGAAAGCCUGAUCCAGCCAUGCCGCAUGAGUGAAGAAGGCCUUUGGGUUGUAAAGCUCUUUUAGUGAGGAAGAUAAUGACGGUACUCACAGAAGAAGUCCUGGCUAACUCCGUGCCAGCAGCCGCGGUAAUACGGAGAGGGCUAGCGUUAUUCGGAAUUAUUGGGCGUAAAGGGCGCGUAGGCUGAUUAAUAAGUUAAAAGUGAAAUCCCGAGGCUUAACCUUGGAAUUGCUUUUAAAACUAUUAAUCUAGAGAUUGAAAGAGGAUAGAGGAAUUCCUGAUGUAGAGGUAAAAUUCGUAAAUAUUAGGAGGAACACCAGUGGCGAAGGCGUCUAUCUGGUUCAAAUCUGACGCUGAAGCGCGAAGGCGUGGGGAGCAAACAGGAUUAGAUACCCUGGUAGUCCACGCUGUAAACGAUGAAUGUUAAAUAUGGGAAGUUUAC
rnacentral:rRNA from 1 species